CCGGCGCAGGAAGCCCCCGGCAGGGUUUUCGAAGAGUCGGCGCGAAGCGGAGCGGAGGGAGAGUCCGUCUACACUGGUGGGGCGCCGGGCGGCUCAGUCGGCCCGCCAUCUGCCUUGGACUCAGGUCAUGACCCCAGAGCCCAGAGGCUCUUCCGCUUGCUCCCGGAAGUCCCGCCUCCGCGCGCCCGGAAGUCCCGCCUCCGCCCAGGCGCGCCGGACGCAAGGCGCGGGCGUGACGGCAUUCAAGGGCGACGCCGGGGAGGGGUGUGGUGGCUGCGGUGCGGGCGGCUGGCUGGGGCCCCGUCCGGCUCUGUGCUCUGCCGCCGGGCGAGGCGGCGGGAGGGCCCGGGGCGCGCGGAGGCAGCGAGGGGCAGCGGGGUCGGCGGAGCGGGGGGGGGGGGGCGCCUGGGGGUCGCGGAACCCGGCGCAGGAAGCCCCCGGCAGGGUUUUCGAAGAGUCGGCACGAAGCGGAGCGGAGGGAGAGUCCGUCUACACGGGUAGGGCGCCGGGCGGCUCCCUCGGCCCGCCGUCUGCCGUGGACUCGGGUCGUGACCCCAGGGCCCUGGGCUCGAGCCCCGCGUCGGGCCCCCCGCUCGGCGGGGAGACUCUGCUUCCCCCUCCGCCUGCCCCUUCCCGGCUGGUGCCCUCGCUCGCUCGAGAGCUCGCUCGAGUGAAUGAAAUCUUUGAAAAGAGCGAGUCUGCGUUGGUUACGUGGUGAAAUGACAGCUGCUGAGGUUAUGUUUCGGUGUUUCGGUGUUUGCUUCUUUUAACUCGACGUAGCCAACGAAGAUGUGGGGUGACGUGCGUGACUGGCGCUGGAUUUCUCUUGGUCGCGGACCCGGACCGAGAAGCCAGGUCCUGGCCUUUCCCGACUGCAGGACAGUCCGCGGACGCACCUCCGCCAGUUCUCUCGUGAGACAAGAAUUGGGCUCCAUGUGUAGCUUGUGAGAUCCUGCUCAGUGGGGCCGAGGUCUUCUGCCUCUGCAAGUGUGUGUUGGAUGAAUGACAACCAUGGGAACUCUCCAGGGACCCCCUUUUGUCACCAUAGAAACUCCAGGAAACUUCUCUUUGGUGUGAUCUUAAUGGAUCCUUGGUGAUCCCCAGCUGACAUACCCUCACUAGAUCCUCAGGGCUCCUUCGUUGCAUAGCCUGAUGAGCUCUUCCGGGAUCCUGUCCUUACAUGACCUCAGGGAAUCUCCAGAGAUCUUCCAAUAAAGUUUCAGUGGAUCCGCAGGGACUCCCUCCUGACACAACCUCAGGCAGUCUCCUGGGAUUGUCUCCUAGUGGAGCUCAGGAAGGCCCCAGGGACCUCUUCCCAAUAUACAGCCCCGAGGCCUCAGAAAGCCUCUCAGAGACUGGCUCCUAACAGCCUCCGGGUCCCCUGUGGACAUCACUGGGGACCUCAGGGGUUCUGUGCAGCUCUUCUGGCUCAUUGCAAGAAUCAGCGAGGUGACAGCAGGACCGAAGAUGAUGGAAGUAGAGUUCACAGAGAAAAAAUGGACAGUAGUUAGUGACUGGCUGGAUGCAAUUAUAGCAUCUUAGAUCGGUUGUCCCUAUAGCUUGAGGAUGCUUUCCUGCCUCAGGUCUCCUGGGGGAAGGAGCAAGACUGACACCAAGAUUGAUGAAGGCUUCAGGACCCACUGAGCAAAGAGUUAGUAGUGCCAAUCAGAAACAGGAGAGCAAGGGGUCAGCCUGUUUGCAGCCUACGUUUAUGAUUGGUUUAGGAUGACGUGGGUCAAGGUCACGGAUGUAAGACCUCAGCCAAGCACGAGGUUAGAGGACAGAUUAGUGUCCAGACAAGGAGAUGGGAGGAUCUGCCAGGGCAAAGUCACAGGAAUAGGUCAGCAAACAUAAUCAAAACACAAAGCCAAGAAGAAACAAUCCCCAGAAAUAGAUUUUGGCUGGGGAGCUUGGUAAGGAUAGGAUGUAAAAGGAGCGUUUGGUAGAAGGCCAGGUGUACAAACUGAGUAUAACAUAUGUACAGUCUAGGAAUGGGAUCUCUGCAGGCAUCAAACAGGACAGAUGCAUGAACCAGAACGAAUGAGUGGAGCACUUUGUAUUUAUUUGUGCAACAAAUAAUUUUAAAAAGAUUUGUUUAUUUAUUUGAGAGAGGGGAUGGGGGGUGGUGGCAGAUGAGGAGGGAGAGGAAGAAGCCAACUCCCUGCUGAGCGCGCAGAGCCCACACAGGGCUCAAACCUAUGACCCCGAGAUAAUGACCUGAACCAAAAUCAAGAGUCAGAAGUUCAACAGACUAAACCACCCAGGCACCCCUGUGCAACAAAUAAUUUUUUUAAAUUUAUUUGAGAGAGAGAGAGAGCACGAGAGGGGGAGGGGGGAAAGGGAGAGGGAGAAGCAAACUCCCCGCUGAGCUGGUAGCCUGACGCAGGGCCCGAUGCCAGUACCCCAGGAUCAUGACCUGAGCCAAAGGAAAUGCUUAAUGAGCUGCCCAGGUGCCCCAACAAACAAGAAGGUCACUUUCACUAAGAUUUAAGCUAAUGGAAAUUAAAUCCAAGGACAUGCCAUUUCACACAUGACAGAUGGGCUAAAACUUAAAAAUCUGUCAAUGCCAAAAUCGACAAGGAUGUGGAUUUGUGAGCGGUGCAGAAUGAACUGAUUCACUGCUGGUGGGAGUAUAAAUUGAUUUAGUGAUUCUCAACAGCCAUCUAGCAAUUUCUAGUAGUUAAGGAUGCAUAUACUCUACAACCCAGCAAUUCCACCCUUGGUGUGUACCCUAGAGCAGCUUGCCCAAGUGUGCAAAGACAAGAACAUUCACUGAAACAUGCUGCUUUUGCUGGCAGCGGGGAAGGCCAUCAAGUCAUCUCUAGGAGAAUUGGUAAAUGAUACAUAGCUAUCCAAUAGGAUGGUAUAUGGUAACAAAAUGAAUAAAUUAGUUACAUAUAUCAACACAAAUGAUUUUCACAAGGUUAAAUGAAAAAAAAGUUGAAUAUGGAUGCAUGCACUGUUUAAUUCCAUUCUUUUUUUUUUUAAGAUUUUAUUUAUUCAUUUGACAGAGAGAGAGAGAGACACAACGAGAGAGGAAACACCAGCAGGGGGAGUGGGAGAGGGAGAAGCAGGCUUCCCGCGGAGCAGGGAGCCCGAUGCGGGGCUCGAUCGCAGGACCCUGGGAUCAUGACCUGAGCCGAAGGCAGAUGCUUAACGACUGAGGCACCCAGGCGCCCCUAAUUCCAUUCUUUUAGAGUAAAAAAGAAUGCUAAACACUAAAUUCAGGAGAGUGGUUGCCUCUGGGUAUUGGUGGGGACUUUGAUCAGUAAGUAAGGAAGUCAAGGGGCUUCAGUUUUAUGAUUAUGCUUUAUUUCUGAUGGCCGAGGGAAUGUAUGCUGCUGUUGUUAUAUUAUUUAUGACUUCUCCCAUGUAUAAAAUGUUUGAUUACGGAGCUCUUACUGCUGAGUCUGUGAGCACACUCUUGGAAAAGGAUGAGACAAUGAAUGAGCAGCGUUCACUGAGAGGCGUGGAGGGGUCGGGACAAUUGAUAAGACCUGUGACUGUAGUUUAAGGCGAGCGGGCAAGAUGGGACAAAAAUGCAAGGAGUGGCUCCAGGGAGAGGGAGAAUCACAGCUGCAGCAGGGAGACAAAAAUGGAGCGCUGGGUAACAGGGGAGUCUUGGGCAUGGCUGAUCCUUGCGUGCAGGCAGCUUCUUGGGGAGGAGAGGUUGAACGGUGAGGGGCCACCUGGAGAGAGAUCCUGAAUUGAGACCAGAGGGUGGAGCCUUUGCACUGUGCACAAACCAGUCAUUGCACGGCUGCCCCCUGGGAGGGGGGCCCUGCAGCUGCAGGCAGCUCCUCAGAGGGACUUCUCUGAGCCAUCAGCAGCUAGCACUCCCGGCCACGGAGGAAAUGAGAGCCUUUGUCCCAAGGAGCGCAUCUGGGCAGCACACUGUAGCGCUGGCUGCAGUCCACCUUGGCACCACUCGGAUCCAGGAGCGUCACAGGGGUCACCACUGGAAGAACAUCUCUAGGAUUCUGCUUGCUUCCUUUUGUGGAAAUUUACAAGAGGAAGGUUGACCCGAUCUUGGAGCCCCUCCUCCUGGGUGGGGGAAGGCAUGUCACUGUGGUGUUGGCUUGCAUUUCCUACGAUCUCAUGAUGAAAAUCGCCCCAUGUGCUCACUGGGUCGUCUGACUAUCUUCUUUGGAGAAAUGUCUAUUAUUUUCAGUGGGGUUGUUUAGGUUCUUAAGUUGGAGGAGUUUUGUACACAUUCUAGAUGCAAGACUCCUAUGA